rnacentral:rRNA from 1 species
CGAUGAGUAAUACUGCAUAAUAUCUAUGGAUUAAAGCUACGGCGGUAUAUGAUGGGUGUGCGUAUCAUUAGCUAGUUGGUAAGGUAACGGCUUACCAAGGCUACGAUGAUUAGGGGGCGUGAGAGCGUGAUCCCCCACACGGGUACUGAGACACGGACCCGACGUCUACGGACGGCAGCAGUAAGGAAUAUUGGACAAUGGGCGAGAGCCUGAUCCAGCCAUCCCGCGUGUAGGAUGACGGCCCUAUGGGUUGUAAACUACUUUUAUAUGAGAAGAAUAGCUUGUAUUUAUAUGAGUGU